CCUUCCCUCCAAGCCUCUUGGCUUUGGAUGUUGGGCCGUUUUGUCCCCUUGCUCUCCGGGAGGGACAGGCCUGAAAGACAGUGGCGAUGCCGUAGUCAGCCCCCGAGCGUAUGGGUGUCUUCCGCUCUCUGGGCUUGAUUGGCAUCCGCCGUCCUCUCCUGCACUGCAGGGUUUGACUCC
rnacentral:misc_RNA from 1 species